CGCGAAGCAGCGGAGCCCCGACAAGAAGGCGGCGUCCGGGCUGGAGCCGGGCUCCGAUGCGGCAGGCGGCGGCCAUCUUGACACGGAAGCCGCACCUGGCGCUCCGAGACGCCCGCCACGCCCCGGGUCCGCACCUGAUUGUACUUUUCCAUAUUUUUUGCUCUUCAUCUUUGGACUCUGGAGUGGUUUUUCCAUAUCCUGAUAGAAUAAUGCUAAGAUCGGUCAAAGCGACUGCAUAGAGGGCCAGGCAUUAAAGGGAAUUCCUUUUGCAAAGACACAGAGGCUGCUGGUCAGUGACCACUCUUUUUCCAAAUGCCACCACGGCUGUGUGGAUGGGAGGGGAACCAGCCUCUGACUGGACAACUCCUACUCCCAGGAGCUCAUGGCCCCUGUGCUGUGUUCUGUACAGACAACUGGCUCUUCCGGGUAGCUUCUUCAUUCCCAGUGUUUGAUAGAAUUAAGAAUUAUGAGCACAACUGGGCGCCUGGGUGGCUCAGUGGGUUAAGCCUCUGCCUUCGGCUCAGGUCAUGAUCUCAGGAUCCUGGGAUCG